rnacentral:tRNA from 1 species
GCCAGCAUGGCCGAGCGGUUAAGGCGGUAGCUUAAGGUGGUAUUACAGUAAUGUGCGUGGGUUCGAAUCCCACUGCUGGUA